AUGGGCGGGCUUCGAACUCGCUGCGAGGGAAGUUCAAGCACCAGGGAAACGUAAACGGUGGUGGAUUUAGCAAAUAGCGUUUGGGGAAAAAACUUUUCAUUUAAAAAAAAAAACCUUUUCUUAGAUGAAAUAAACGCCACAGUUAUUACAUUUACAAGAAAGAAGAAACAGCAUGUCAUGCUUCCUAAGGAUAUCGCUAAAAGAGUUCCCAAGACCCAUCUGAUGUCAGAGACAGAAUGGAGGAAUCUGGGUGUUCAGCAGAGAGUCAAGGAUGGGUACAUUUACAUGAUCCAUCAACCCGAACCACAUAUCUUGCUCUUCCGACGUCCUCUGCCCCAAUCCAAGUGACUCCAUAACCACAAACUAAAGGAAUUCUGAAAACUGGACACAAUCUGAAGAUGUCUGAGAGAUGCCGGGUGCACCCCAGAUCAGACUGUGUCAGUAUCAUUUGUGCUGCUGCACAUGUAUUGGACUAUUAUUUGAGUUAGAUUAUCAUCACUGUGCUUGAUCUCUGCCUUAACUGAGAGAUGUAACUGUGUGUAAUUUCCUGCUGCAACUGUAUUUUAUUAUUCCUUUCAAGCAUAUUCUGUAUAUGGCCUUCACUUGAUUCAUUUUUUGCAUUGGUAAAUAUAGACUCUGAAAGAUCUA